rnacentral:rRNA from 1 species
UGGGGAAUAUUGGACAAUGGGGGCAACCCUGAUCCAGCCAUGCCGCGUGAGUGAAGAAGGCCUUAGGGUUGUAAAGCUCUUUCAGUCGUGACGAUGAUGACGGUAGCGACAGAAGAAGCCCCGGCUAACUCCGUGCCAGCAGCCGCGGUAACACGGAGGGGGCAAGCGUUGUUCGGAUUUACUGGGCGUAAAGGGCGCGUAGGCGGGGUAUCAAGUUAGGGGUGAAAGCCUAGACACUUAAUGUCAGAAGUGCCAUUGAUACUGAAGAGCUUGAGUCGAGGAGAGGUAAGCAGAAUUUGUGGUGUAGCAGUGAAAUGCUUAGAUACCAUGAGGAAUACCAACAGCGAAAGCAGCUUACUGGCCUUGUACUGACGCUGAGGCACGAAAGCGUGGGGAGCAAACAGGAUUAGAUACCGCCGUAGUCC